UAGAACUAGAUAGGUUAGAAUAAUAACAGUUAACGUUGCAACGUGCUUUGAACGAGUUAAAUGUUUUUGCUUGUGUUUUAAAUUGUAUUGGUAUACUAAUAUAUUUACCUGGAAUAUAUAAAAUGAUUCAUUUAACCUCAAAUUUUUCUUUGGAUAUUUUAUACUAAUUCUUGUAUAUUCUGCAUUAUCUAUAGAUUUUUGUUUAAAUUUUCUAUAAAUAAAUAAAUAUCUGGUGAUGAUGAUUUAAUUUUCUUUAUCAAUAUGUAUCAUUGUGAUAAUGAAUGAUUAAUUGAAAUAUAAUGAAGUUAAGUAUUUAUCAUAAACCUAUCGAUAACCUAUAAAAUACUAAUCGCAUUAAAUGUAUUAAAUGAAAAAGAAAAAAAAUUCGAAAAAAUAAAAGAAAUAUCCUUCGUGGUUUAUUUUACAAGAAUCAUUUAAAAUUUCAGUUUUAAUUUCAAUUUCAAUUUUAACCAGAUUUCACGACACGUUGUUCUACAACGAGUGACGUUAAUUGCCGCGCAGCUGGCAACCAUUUUCGGUCCAGUUAAUAAAAUCCAGAGAAACUGUUUAACGGUACAAUGCCACGUUUCUCGGUGGAGGGAGCUUAUCAGCGGUUUCCCGUAGGCGUUUUAAUCAGUCCAUCUGAAUGAAACCACUUCAGAGUUUUCGAAACGGUGGCUCUCUUGGACGGAGAGUGGGGAGUGGACACAGGUUUCAACAGGAACGUGGAAGAAACGUUUUUAGUCGACGAACAUAUUGACUUAGGACUAAAUUGGUCAAUCUAAACAACAGGAUGUGAAAGUUACUGGGAAACUAAUUUGCGCAUCUCAACUUCCUUUGUGAACCACAACGUUUCAGACCUUUAUAGGUUAUGUUCCACACUGAAUAUGACGUAUUAAAAAGUUAGAUGAUGAAAUCAAGCUUGCUUUUUACACUAUUGGAAUUAUAUCGUUCUUUCUUUUUGACCUUUUUCAAAAAUUCAUAAAUAUCACUUGACAAUCCCACACCACUUAAAUACAAUUUCCCUCGUAAAUUGUAUCGCAAUGGACGCCACAUUUCGCUCGAAUGGGGAUCACGUGUACAGAAACAAAUAAAAACGUUUGGAAAGGAAUAGCUACGUUUACAUUAUUCGAAACAGUAGCGUCGUUAUAGGAUGCUCGAUAAAGGACUAUCCUUUCCACCGUGGGCCGGCCAAAUGUUCCGAUAAAGGCCGCCAUCAAAGCAUCAACUCGUGCGAUCUUGCACCGCUGUUAUAGGAAUGAUAAUCGAAAGGACGAGUUAUCAGUGACGCCUGUGCCAUCGACCAAAGAUACGUUCCACCAUUUUCGAUUGGCUGAAAUUCAACCCCCUGUGUAUCUGCGAAUUUUCUUUCGUCCAUUUGUUUUAUGCCCCCGAGAUAUCUAACGUUUCUCAUCAAUUGGUGACGAUAACACGAUGAUAGCAGGAUUAGUUAGUAUCGAAAAUAUAAGUGGAAGAAACUAGCGAUUUUUUAUGCAAAUCGAUCGAGGAGGAAAAUCGAUCGAUAAGAGGAGUAUGAAUGUAAGACGCGAGUAAUCCGUUAUAUAGAGGAUUGGGAGGAUUUCGAGGACUCGACGAUCUGAGAAAUUGAAGGAUCUCGAUUCGAUUGCCGAUCAUCGCAUGGAGCGAGCAUGACGGAAUACCUUUUAUCCUAGACUUAACUUUACAUUUACGAAGUCUGUCGUUGACAAAGUAUAAUUCUUCUAUGGAAAGACUGCAUUUGGAAUAAAUGUAUUCCACUCGUAAAUGAAAAUUAAAGAUCAUCGAUCCGUUUCAUCUCGCAUUUUUACAAAUAAUAAGAAACAUUUUUGUAUUCAGAUAUAUAAAAAAACAAACGUUUAAUCAUU